rnacentral:rRNA from 1 species
UGGGGAAUAUUGCGCAAUGGGGGAAACCCUGACGCAGCAACGCCGCGUGAAUGAUGACGGUCUUCGGAUUGUAAAGUUCUAUCAGCAGGGAUGAAUAAAUGACAGUACCUGACUAAGAAGCCCCGGCUAACUACGUGCCAGCAGCCGCGGUAAUACGUAGGGGGCAAGCGUUAUCCGGAUUUACUGGGUGUAAAGGGUGCGUAGCCGGAAUAUCAAGUCUGAUGUGAAAGCCCGAGGCUCAACCUCGGGACUGCAUUGGAAACUGGUAUUCUAGAGUGCAAGAGAGGAAAGCGGAAUUCCUAGUGUAGCGGUGAAAUGCGUAGAGAUUAGGAGGAACACCAAUGGCGAAGGCAGCUUUCUGGAUUGUAACUGACGGUGAGGCACGAAAGCGUGGGGAGCAAACA